rnacentral:rRNA from 1 species
GAUGAACGCUGGCGGCAUGCCUAAUACAUGCAAGUCGAACGAAGUCUUCAGGAAGCUUGCUUCCAAAGAGACUUAGUGGCGAACGGGUGAGUAACACGUAGGUAACCUGCCCAUGUGUCUGGGAUAACUGCUGGAAACGGUAGCUAAAACCGGAUAGGUAUACGGAGCGCAUGCUCUGUAUAUUAAAGCGCCCCUCAAGGCGUGAACAUGGAUGGACCUGCGGCGCAUUAGCUAGUUGGUGAGGUAACGGCCCACCAAGGCGAUGAUGCGUAGCCGGCCUGAGAGGGUAAACGGCCACAUUGGGACUGAGACACGGCCCAAACUCCUACGGGAGGCAGCAGUAGGGAAUUUUCGUCAAUGGGGGAAACCCUGAACGAGCAAUGCCGCGUGAGUGAAGAAGGUCUUCGGAUCGUAAAGCUCUGUUGUAAGUGAAGAACGGCUCAUAGAGGAAAUGCUAUGGGAGUGACGGUAGCUUACCAGAAAGCCACGGCUA